GUCUAUGGCCAUGCCACUCGGAACAUGCCCAAUCUCAUCUGAUCUUGUCUGACCUCGAAAGCUAAGUAGGGUCGGGCCUGGUUAGUACUUGGAUGGGAGACUGCCUAGGAAUAUCGGGUGCUGUAGGCU
ensembl:rRNA 5S_rRNA 5S ribosomal RNA